rnacentral:rRNA from 1 species
CAGUAGCCGCGGUAAUACGUAGGGUGCGAGCGUUAAUCGGAAUUACUGGGCGUAAAGCGUGCGCAGGCGGUUCGUUAAGACAGAUGUGAAAUCCCCGGGCUUAACCUGGGAACUGCAUUUGUGACUGGCGAGCUAGAGUAUGGCAGAGGGGGGUAGAAUUCCACGUGUAGCAGUGAAGUGCGUAGAGAUGUGGAGGAAUACCGAUGGCGAAGGCAGCCCCCUGGGCCAAUACUGACGCUCAUGCACGAAAGCGUGGGGAGCAAACAGGAUUAGAUACCCCCGUAGUCCCUGUCUCUUAUAC